rnacentral:rRNA from 1 species
CAAUAGCGUAUAUUAAAGUUGUUGCAGUUAAACAGCUCGUAGUUGAAUUUUUGCUUGCCGCCGAUGUCGGAACUUCCGUACGUUCGGCGGCGUGCAUCCUUGGGUGGAACCUGUGUGGCAUUAGGUUGUCGUGCAGGGGAUGCUCAUCGUUUACUGUGAAAAAAUUAGAGUGUUCAAAGCAGGCUUACGCCGUUGAAUAUAUUAGCAUGGAAUAAUAAGAUAGGACCUUGGUACUAUUUUGUUGGUUUGCGCACCGAGGUAAUGAUUAACAGGGACAGUUGGGGGUAUUCGUAUUCCAUUGUCAGAGGUGAAAUUCUUGGAUUUCUGGAAGACGAACUACUGCGAAAGCAUUUACCAAGGAUGUUUUCAUUAA